GCCCCGCGGUCCCCCCCGGGGCAUGAACCGCCCCCCGGCGGACCGAAACCGGCCAAACCGGCAAAACCGCCCCGAUCAUGCCCGUUUUUCGGCGUUCAAACCGCCGCGCGGCUACCCCCCCAUCCCGAUGCCCCCGGACCCCUGGUCCCGUGGGACCUGACGGAAACGGAAUCGGAUGCCCGGAUCAUGAGAUACGCCCAAAACCGUCUAAACCUACUGAGCGCACCCCGAACAUGCCCAUUUUUCGGCGUUCAAACCGCCGCGCGGCUACCCCCCCAUCCCGAUGCCCCCGGAACCCUGGUCCCGCGGGACCCGACGGAAACGGAAUCGGAGGCCCGGAUCAUGAGUUACGGCCCCUUCUUUGCGGCCCCCGAGGACGUGCGCUAUAGCCCCCCGGGCCACCCCCCAUCCGGCCGCACCCGCCCGAACCCCACCGAACGCGUCCGCCGCCUCCCGAUCCCGCCCCGCGGUCCCCCCCGGGGCAUGAACCGCCCCCCGGCGGGCCGAAACCGGCCAAACCGGCAAAACCGCCCCGAUCAUGCCCGUUUUUCGGCGUUCAAACCGCCGCGCGGCUACCCCCCCAUCCCGAUGCCCCCGGACCCCUGGUCCCGUGGGACCUGACGGAAACGGAAUCGGAUGCUCGGAUCAUGAGAUACGCCCAAAACCGUCUAAACCUACUCAGCGCUCCCCGAACAUGCCCAUUUUUCGGCGUUCAAACCGCCGCGCGGCUACCCCCCCAUCCCGAUGCCCCCGGAACCCUGGUCCCGCGGGACCCGACGGAAACGGAAUCGGAGGCCCGGAUCAUGAGUUACGGCCCAGUCUUUGCGGCCCCCGAGGACGUACGCUAUAGCCCCCCGGGCCACCCCCCAUCCGGCCGCACCCGCCCGAACCCCACCGAACGCGU
rnacentral:lncRNA from 1 species